CCCCUAGAUGUUCUGGGCCGCACGCGCGCUACACUGAACAGUUCAACAAGUCUUAACCUUGGCCGAUAGGUCUGGGUAAUCUUUGAACGCUGUUCGUGAUUGGGAUAGACCUUUGCAAUUAUGGGUCUUCAACGAGGAAUUCCUAGUAAACGCAAGUCAUCAGCUUGCAUUGAUUACGUCCCUGCCCUUUGUACACACCGCCCGUCGCACCUACCGAUUGAAUGGUCCGGUGAAAUCUCGGGACGGCGGCUCGGUCGCUUGCGUCCGACUGCUGAAACUUGAUUAAACCAUAUCAUUUAGAGGAAGGUGAAGCCGUAACA
rnacentral:rRNA from 1 species